ACAACACAAAUAUGCAACAUGC
rnacentral:siRNA from 1 species